rnacentral:rRNA from 1 species
CACGUAGGCACCAAGCGUUAUCCGGAUUUAUUGGGCGUAAAGAGCUCGUAGGCGGUCUGUCGCGUCGAUCGUGAAAACUUGGGGCUUAACCCUGAGCUUGCGGUCGAUACGGGCAUGACUGGAGUUCGGCAGGGGAGACUGGAAUUCCUGGUGUAGCGGUGAAAUGCGCAGAUAUCAGGAGGAACACCGGUGGCGAAGGCGGGUCUCUGGGCCGAUACUGACGCUGAGGAGCGAAAGCGUGGGGAGCGAACAGG